AGAGUUUGAUCCUGGCUCAGGAUGAACGCUAGCGGCAGGCUUAACACAUGCAAGUCGAGGGGUAACAUUGUGCUUGCACAGAUGACGACCGGCGCACGGGUGCGUAACGCGUAUAGAACCUACCUUUUACAGAGGGAUAGCCUUUAGAAAUGAAGAUUAAUACCUUAUAGUAUUGCGACUUGGCAUCGAGUUGUAAUUAAAGAUUUAUCGGUAAAAGAUGGCUAUGCGUCCUAUUAGUUAGAUGGUAAGGUAACGGCUUACCAUGACUAUGAUAGGUAGGGGUCCUGAGAGGGAGAUCCCCCACACUGGUACUGAGACACGGACCAGACUCCUACGGGAGGCAGCAGUGAGGAAUAUUGGGCAAUGGAGGCAACUCUGACCCAGCCAUGCCGCGUGCAGGAAGACUGCCCUAUGGGUUGUAAACUGCUUUUAUACAGGAAGAAACACUAGUACGCGUACUAGCUUGACGGUACUGUAAGAAUAAGGACCGGCUAACUCCGUGCCAGCAGCCGCGGUAAUACGGAGGGUCCGAGCGUUAUCCGGAAUCAUUGGGUUUAAAGGGUCCGCAGGCGGUCAAUUAAGUCAGAGGUGAAAUCCCAUAGCUCAACUAUGGAACUGCCUUUGAUACUGGUUGACUUGAGUCAUAUGGAAGUAGAUAGAAUGUGUAGUGUAGCGGUGAAAUGCAUAGAUAUUACACAGAAUACCGAUUGCGAAGGCAGUCUACUACGUAUGUACUGACGCUGAGGGACGAAAGCGUGGGGAGCGAACAGGAUUAGAUACCCUGGUAGUCCACGCCGUAAACGAUGGAUACUAGUUGUUGGGCAUUUGUUCAGUGACUAAGCGAAAGUGAUAAGUAUCCCACCUGGGGAGUACGGUCGCAAGACUGAAACUCAAAGGAAUUGACGGGGGCCCGCACAAGCGGUGGAGCAUGUGGUUUAAUUCGAUGAUACGCGAGGAACCUUACCAGGGCUUAAAUGUAGUAUGACAGGUUUAGAGAUAGACUUUUCUUCGGACAUAUUACAAGGUGCUGCAUGGUUGUCGUCAGCUCGUGCCGUGAGGUGUCAGGUUAAGUCCUAUAACGAGCGCAACCCCUGUCGUUAGUUGCCAGCAUGUUAUGAUGGGGACUCUAACGAGACUGCCUACGCAAGUAGAGAGGAAGGUGGGGAUGACGUCAAAUCAUCACGGCCCUUACGUCCUGGGCCACACACGUGCUACAAUGGUAUGGACAAUGAGCAGCCAUCUGGCAACAGAGAGCGAAUCUAUAAACCAUAUCACAGUUCGGAUCGGAGUCUGCAACUCGACUUCGUGAAGCUGGAAUCGCUAGUAAUCGGAUAUCAGCCAUGAUCCGGUGAAUACGUUCCCGGGCCUUGUACACACCGCCCGUCAAGCCAUGGAAGCUGGGAGUGCCUGAAGUCGGUCACCGCAAGGAGCCGCCUAGGGUAAAACUGGUAACUAGGGCUAAGUCGUAACAAGGUA
rnacentral:rRNA from 1 species